rnacentral:rRNA from 1 species
CCUACGGGAGGCAGCAGUGGGGAAUCUUGCGCAAUGGACGAAAGUCUGACGCAGCCACGCCGCGUGAGUGAAGAAGGCCUUCGGGUUGUAAAGCUCUGUCGGAGGGGACAAAAAAUCUUAAGGUUAAUAGCCUUAGGACUUGAUGGUACCCUUAAAGGAAGCACCGGCUAACUUCGUGCCAGCAGCCGCGGUAAUACGAAGGGUGCAAGCGUUGCUCGGAAUUAUUGGGCGUAAAGGGUAGGUAGGUGGUUACGUAUGUCUGAGGUGAAAGCCCCGAGCUUAACUUGGGAAGUGCCUUGGAAACGGCGUAACUAGAGUACUGGAGAGGUUUGUAGAAUUCCUGGUGUAGCGGUGAAAUGCGUAGAGAUCAGGAGGAAUACCAGAGGCGAAGGCGACAAACUGGACAGUAACUGACACUCAACUACGAAAGCGUGGGUAGCAAACAGGAUUAGAUACCCUGGUAGUCCACGCUGUAAACGAUGGGUACUAGGUUUUGCGGGAGUUGACCCCUGCGGAACCGGAGCUAACGCGAUAAGUACCCCGCCUGGGAAGUACGGUCGCAGACUAAACUCAAAUGAAUUGACGGCUGAGAGNGCGACGGACGACGACGAGGGAGGAGG